rnacentral:RNase_P_RNA from 1 species
CAGGUGAAUUAGGGAAUCGCUCUUGUUUACUUUCGGGUAAAGAAGGGAGGAAAGUCCGGGCACCGCAGAGCACCGUAGCGGGUAACACCCGUCCAUCGCAAGGUGAGGAAUAGUGCCACAGAGACGAGCGGAUGCGUUGGCCUUUGGGUCUUCUCUGACGCAGCUGACUUUCGCAAGAAAGAGGGCUUGGCAGAGAAGCGUAAGCAACAAAACCAGUGAAACGCGGUAAACUCUACGGGGUGCAAGACCAAAUAGGCCUCGCCCUUCGACUUGUCGACUAGGUCUGCUCGACCGACGUCUUGGUUUCUCACGAAGCCGAGAGAGCGGGGUGGGUAGGUUGCUUGAGCUAGGCAGUAAUGCCAUGCCUAGAUAAAUGAUUCUCCACGACAGAACCCGGCUUAUCGAUUCACCUGAUGA